CAUAUUCUCAUAGAAUAAUUCAUAAAAACAAUGAAUCAAGAAAUAUAGAUCCUAAUGUAUCACAUCAGAUGAAAAAUAUUUAUAUAAAUAUUGUAUUUAUUAUCAAGUUAAAAUAUCUAUUAUAAUAUUUGUGUCAGCUUAUGUGAACCCUGUAAUACACUCGUUUCUGCGUAAUAUGCUCAACAAACUAGAUUUAUCGCUUGUAAAAAUGACAUCCCAUGCACCUAUUUGGUUUGGAGGGAGCAAAACAGUCGAAGGCAUUUGCAGCCGUAUUCUCAAACCUCGUCUCAAAAGAAACAGGAAUACACUUAUCUUUUUCAAGCAAACAUCCGCGGAAGAAUUAAGUGCUCUAGGCCGUUCUCAAAAAAAAAAAAAAGAGUUAAGUGCUCUCACUCGAUGGGAAGAGGUGUCAAGGCCUUGAUGUUAAAACCAGUCUCUUAAAUAUGGGGAGGAUUUUUCGUUUC
rnacentral:lncRNA from 1 species